UAAAUAUCUCAAGUGCCCCUUUCUUAAAUUAUCCAGGAUUUGUCAGCAGGCAGCUGUCUUGAUGUCUGUCCCUCCAUCAGUAAAGGGCUCUCUUGUCUUGUUUUAGAGAGAAAGUCAGUCAGUAGCCACUUUUAGAUAGAAAAGGUGGCACAUUUGCAGCAAGGUAAAGGCUGCAAUAUGCCACCUUGUCUAUCUGAAAGGGAGGCGUAAUAUUCCUUCUUUUCCAAAAAGCCGUAACUUGGCCACUGGGGUCGGCGUGAACACAUGACGUGACAUGAAGCACGAAGUUGGGCGUGAACAGUGAGGCAGGUUGAAUUAAAACUUCAAAAUAAGAGCUUUACAUUGCACCCCAUUGGAGUGUAGAACUGGAUUCUUAGCGGGUUAGGGUUACAAGCAGACAACGAAGACACCUACAGAGACCGAGGAGACGCUGCAUCCCCCGGAAUUCAGAAUCCAGUUACUCAUCUUAACGUCUUGCUGUGUCUCAGGACAUGACACGGACAACAAUGGACAGUUUUAUUUAUAUUGUUGCUAUUAACUGAUCUUGAGCUACGCUAAUCUUAGCUAAUGUAGUGUAGGAGUGUCAGGGAGGAAGCUGAACAUCCAGCUGAGAUGCAGACCAAGCUGCAUGUCAAACCAGGUGCAUAACAAAGAUGAUCCAGUGAGAAGGACCCUCUCUCCAGCAAAGACAACAACCCAGAAGAAAAUAAGGGAAGUAAUAUUUCAUUAAAUUCUCAGCUUUCACUUAAGAUGUUUACAUCAGUCUUUUGAACCUGUAACUAAUUUAUGUCUUUUAAAUCUGGCAA